GUAUUUCUCGGCCCAAUCAAAUUCAAAUUCUCUGACGUAUUCUGCACUACGAUCUUCUGUACGGUUUAAUCUAAGCCGUUUAUUCUCUUCUUUACAGCGCCGAUCGCAUUCUCUAUUUUUGUCUCAUGUGCGGCAUUAAUUAACUCAUCUUAAUUGCCGCUGUCUAUUCAUCAUUACAGCUGACCUUGGGACUCGUAAUCGAAGCGACAGUUCGAUACGACGGCCUUUUCUUCUUCCUCAAGCUUCCCAUUAUUUUUGUCUCUUCCAAUUCUUAUUUUCUUUUCCUCAUAUCCUUCACUAAAACCUCUUCUUUGUCUCCUUCAUCCUUCUUCGCUCUCUUUUCGCAACCGAUUCUCUCGGCUUUUCUCUUCUUUUGAACAAUGUCUUUGGUUCCUCCUCUUCCUUCUCAUCCAUCUCUUGACUAUACUAUACUCAAACCUUUCGUUGAUU
rnacentral:lncRNA from 1 species